rnacentral:lncRNA from 1 species
UUAUUUCUAACAAAUCUCAUAAAACCUUCAAGGUUGGGAGGUGGUUGUGUUGGCGCUGGUGGAAAUGAAGCUUGUUCAUCGCCACUUCCGGGUGAAUUUGCUUCUUGAGCAAAUUCUGCUAUCAUUUCUUCAUACGCCUCAUCUAUUUCUGGUUGUGAUUCUGCAAGGCCAAAGUUCCUUCUUUCUGCGCGAAUCCAAUCUCGAAAAAGCACUGAUUUUUCCAAGCUG